ACAUAACACUGCGGUGUCCACAAUUUGUAUGACUUCUCAGGAAUUAAAACGCCACCCAUCGAGUCCAGGCCUCUUGCCGUGGGCUGUACUGCUGCCUAUGGCAUUUUGCCCAGUGUUCCAGCCAUUCCCCUGGGACAUCUCUUCCCAGUGUAACAAGUCAGAUCAGUCCAAUUUUUCUUGUGCCAUUUCCCUUCCAUCCCACAUAUCUCUACCCCCUCGGUUUCAUCCCGUAACAUUUUUCCAUCCCCCAAGAGCAACUUGAUCAUUACAGCCUGAGUCACUUUCCCUUAAGAUCAGGUACCAACAAACAGGUAAGAAGGAAUGAGGGCAAAAGCUCUGGGAGAGAGCGCAGGGGGUGCAUCUCUCCUGAGCUGGCCUGCCCUGGUCUGCCUGCAGAAACCACUGCCUCUCUCUCUGCAGACAGCAGAGUCCUUAUGGGGCAGUGCCUGGGGGCGGUGCGGGGGGGAACUCUCCAAAAGGCCUAACAGUUGCACAGAUGAAUACAUCACGGGCUACAUCUCACACAGAUAAGCCUGAAUCGGCCCGAAGAGCCAAAGAAAAAAACAAAAAUGGCUGGGGCAUUAAAGAAGAAAUUAGGUGCCCAACUCCUACUAAAAGCCAAUGGGAUUUGGGUACCUAACUCCCGGGGGUGUCUGUGAAAACCAGAGGCAGAUGUUUGCAGGGAUCUCCAGAAACACAGUAGGUGGAGCCUCACGAAUCACAGGGACUGCCUCAUUCUCUUUCCCAGUGCGAUAGGGUUUCAAGGGUUUCUCCUCCCCAGCCCCGUGCCCGCCCCAACCUCUCCUCCCCCUUUAAUAUCAUUCACUUCACAUCCAGCGCUCCUUUGCCAGCGAGCAGUCCUGGGCAGCUCCCUACAGCUGAGGCGCGAGAAAGGAGAGUGGAAAAGCAGCAAAGUGGGGUUAGGCUCCUCGCUCGCAUCCCACACAGGCAGCUGGGAAAUAUCUUGAGAUUUUUUUUUUUACUGCUGCUAGCGCUGGCAUCUCACCCCUUCACCUGUCCCUCCUCCUCUCACCCCUGGCCCCCCUGCAAAGAGGCAGAUGGGAGCUUUAAUGAGCAGUGUGGGGUACUGUGAUUCUGGAGGUAUUUAACUCCGCCGGCGUGCUACAAACCACAGGUAUCUGACCCUUUCCCGAGCCCCGGAAGGUUGAUUGAUGUCCUGAUUCACAGGCCGCCUUCAUGGCGGAUCGGGCCAGCAGAAUUUGGGCCACAGCCUCAGAUGUGGCCAACGCCGCCCCACCCCACCCGGCUCUCCCUUCCUCCCCUCCCCCCUUCCCCGCUUUGAGAGGAUCUGUUCCAAAAAAUCUGGGCUGAGCCCAGCAUGGGGAGGAGAGCGCUGGGCUCUGCUUGCCGAGCUGCAGCUGCAACAAGGCCACCACUGUGCGGAUGGCACAUUAAACCCUCCGUGUGCUUCGGACAGCCGGGAGAUGACGUCUUCCCAGCGCGGCCAGUCAGUCCCGUCAUUCGCGCUGCUCCAGUGAGGGGACUCGGGGUAAAACUGAGGCUGGGAGAUGCCGGACAGCCGGAUAGGCUAAGGGCCGGCAGAGCUCAGAGCCAGAUGGGCAGGGGAAGGUAUAUCGGAGAAGGAUUGAACCGGGCCAAGCCCGGGGAAAGGACGCAGCACACCUGUCCUGUGCAUCAGACAGGGCUUGGAGUGUGGGCUAGCGGCCGAGGAGCCAGGAGUCGUCAGUUUCGGUCUGGGCUCCGCCACAGAUUUGCGGAUGAACCAUGUGCAAGUCUCUGCACCUCUGUCUGUAAAAUGGGGGGGAUGGGAAGUUGAAAUAAAGAUGGAGUAUGGGGGGCACAACUUCCCCUUUCUAUUAAAGGCAGCAGCUCCUUCUUGUCUCCCCGGUGUGACUGAGCAGCUCCCCCUCCUGGGUGAGCAAUGCUGCCCCAUAACUCCCCCUCCUCAGCUGGGUCAAUAAUUCCCCCCUCCUCUUUCAGUCUAUUGGGAAUAACACCAUUCCCUGUCCCAAAACUUCUCCUCUCUCAGUGCAGACCCGUUUCAGAAUCAAGUACUGAGCACACACUGGGAAUGAAAACGACACUGACCCGAGGUCCUGCACCAGUAGCCCUAGUAGCCGAUGGCAGUGAGAGAUCGAAAACCUGGUAUCUUAUGGAGUGUCUUUGCUAGCAUGCUCCUUACACCCUGGAAAGUCAAGGAAGUCACCUUUCCUGUGGUUUCUGCAUUUGUUUUUUAGUCCUGGUGAUUUAGAAAAAGGAUGGGACCUUAAAGUCACACCAUGCCAAUUGCUACCUUGCUUUGCUUUGCCUCUCUCCUUUAAAGUCAGACACAACUAUAGUGGCUGAGAACCACUGGAAACCGAUACAGUUGCUCAGAGGUGUCAAACUAGUCCCCAUCCAUGGGCUAGAUCUGUCCCAUCUGACGUGUCCCACAUGACAUGCACAGAUUGUGCAGAAUCUCAACUUUUGUUUAGAAGACACAGUAUGAUUCUCGCUUGCAUGGUGUUGGGACUUCUCUCAAGACCUUAACCUCUCUGCUCCCAAGAACUCAGCCCAACUCUGGAUUCCUCACUCAAGUUUCUUUACCAGCAUGCACUAAGACUACACAGAGCUGAUCAGACUCACAUCCAGGGGGUGAGUCCGGGGUGUACCACAAAUCCAAUCUGAAGUCCUUUAGAUACUAGUUUACCCCUGCACAGAUGCAUGUGUCUUCCAGUCCGUGUUACAUCAUGCACUUUCUGAUUGGUCAGCUUAUUUUCAGGACCAAUCCCUGUACCUAUCAUGCUUUGUUCCCAUGCCACACAUAUAUAGCAUAUUUCAAUUUUGUUAAUUUCAUUUGUUAAUAUUUGAAUAUGUUAAUUUUCUCCCUGUAUUUUGUUAGUUUCCUCCCUGUCUCCUUCCACACAUUCUUAGCCACUGCUGCUGCCAAUAUUAUUUCUUGCACCUGGUUUUACACCACUUCUCUCUUUGGUUACUGGGUCCACUACCAAAAAGUUACAUUGACAACUUAUCUUUUCCCUGGUCCUGGAUUACUGGGGCUCAUUCAUACCAUACACAUGGCUAUGAAGGAAACCUUGCAAAAUGUGAACCAGAGUGCAGACUGUUGAAGCACAUUGUGCCUGAAUCUGCAGGCAGCCUGAGACAAUAGCUCGGAGAGGUGUGAAUUCCUUCACUCUGUCACUCUGUCAUCUCAAUGUAUUGUUAACUCUGAACUCUAACAAUGUCACUGAAGUGUUUCUGCUGACUCCUAGUUCAUUAUGGAUAGAAUGGGGAAGGUGGUGGAAGGGAAGCCCCAAGGGAGCUGGAAUUGGGAGCUGCUGCAGAGGAAUGAACAGAGGAGGCCUACAAAGACUGGGAAACAGAGGAAGAAGGAAGAGAAGCAAAGGGGGCAAACAGCCGUGAUCCUACAAGGGAGUGGAUUUUCUCAGUGCAGAAUGCUGAAUGGCACUGAACAAACACUAAAUAAUGAAGUCUGGGGAGUUCAAAAGCUCCUAAGGGUGUUAGGUGCCAUGAUGCCAUGGGAGAUGGUCACUUAAUCCGUUAGACCCUUUGGACAAUCCCACUGUGAUGUGGUGUCUGCCCCACACUUGCAGAAAAGGGGUUAAAAGCAGCCCUAGGGAGGCUGCACAGGAGACAGUCAAUCAGCGAAGGGCUGAGGGGAGCAACCAAUCAGGGCAAGGCAGGCCCACUGAAAAAGGGAGCUGCAGGGCAGAGGAGGGCAGUUCUCUGUUGGGAGCCCAGGAAGGAAGGAUGGACUGGAUCCCUGAAGGGCUGAGAGAACUGCAGCACUGUGGACAGUGCUGCCAACAGGGGCCAAGGGAGCAAGAGACAGCUCCUGGCUGGCUGUUGGGGGUUGCAGACUGAGGCCCUGACGUAAGGGCAAGGAGGGUGCUGGAGCCACAUGGGAAGUGGUUUGACCAUGCACUGCAGUCUGCCACUGAAGGGAGUGACCGGACAGCAGACUGCAGAUUCCCCUGGAAGGGCGGAGAACAGAGUGUGGCACAACUGGAGGGCAGUGUCAUGAAGAGGAUGCUGCAGUCCCGGGAGUGGGCAAGACACCACCAGCAGAGGGCACAGUGCUAAUUCUCUGGACAGCCAGCAGGAGGCGCUGCAGUGGUGAGUCGUGCCCCAUCACACCCGCCCUAAAGGUUCAAUAUAAAGGCCAUCGCCCACCCUUUGCAAACCUCCCCGCGAUGUCGGUGGAUUGAAGGGGAGUACCGAAUCCUAAAUGUAUGUUGCUGGCCAGGGGUGGGGAUUUAAACUGGAGUUCGUCCCUGUGCACAGAAUGAAUUCGUCACCGCUGCAGCAGGUGGAUGCUCUAAUGCAGGUGGCUGGUGAGAUACCACCUCCCAAUGCCGUGCAGGAAGUGACGUGUGCCGGCACACACGUGUGUGUGUGUAUGUGAAACAAAAUGUUUAAUCAGAAGGAUGUGACUUUAAGGUCCAAUAUCUCACCCAGUGUCAGGGCUGGAAGUACCAUGUGCCAGGCUCCUCUGGUUGCUUUGCCUCACAUCUGCAACACAAAGCAGCCAGGAGCCCAGUUUCGGUGGUAAUGUGUUAAGGGUUGCAUCGCUGGAGCUUGCCAGCAAAUCUGCCCUGUGACAGGAUCGAUACAUUUGUUUGAAGGAGGAGUGAGCGCGUCUACAUGUCAGCCCUGCACCAGGCAUAGCGAGGGAAAAGUCUGACCCUAUGUCUGUACAGACAGUUUCACUUCUGCCACAAAACCAUGCACAGUCUGGCUGCUUGUAGUUUGGCCUCUCUUCACUCAGCCAUGUCUUAGGCAACUAUCCAUAUGACGAAUGGAGUGACUAAGAAGGAGGGGCUCACCUGGGGUGAGAUUAUCCCGUGUGUUCUUGCACAGGCCAUGGACCAGGACCCCACUGUGCUAGGCACUGUAUAAACACAGACCAAAAAGGCAGACCCAGCCCCAAAGAGUUGGCAAUCUAAGUGUAAGGCAUGCAAAGUCCUAUUGGACUUGGUGGGCCUAUUCGUGCAGAAAGGCACCACUGAGCAUGAGGGGAUCACAAUCUGGCCUUCUGUCGUUAAACGCCGUGACACAGAGAGGAUCCAGUUGGCUGUGAAGUGAUCUCCCAAGGAAAAUGCUGGCCUGUCCCUUGUGACUAUUAGCCCUAGGUCGGCCAGGCCGCUUGGGAGCAUGUGGCAGUGGAGUGAGAUGUGUCGGCCAGGAGAUGGACUGGAGGAUUUGAAGGGUCUCCCCCAUGCUCUGUCCUAUUCAAUCCAGUUGUAACAUGACCACGGUAAUGCUGCCCUGGCCCUGGAGAAGAAGCAGAAGUGAUUCAACGUCCUGCAGGGCCCUUGCUUGCAGGUCCUGUCUGACGCAGAAUAGGCGGUAGCACCCCUGUUGUGGCGCAUUCUCAUUCUGCAUGCACCCACCCUGCAGUGCCCCCCGUAGCUACAGCAGUUCAGAAGAACAACAGGCAGAAGGGCAGUUCUACUGGGGACGCUGGGCCUAAAGAACUCGUGCAGUCCAGUUACCCACUACUGUGCACGAUGGAUGUGCAAAUCUCCUGAGUCACAUUCUCUAACCCCAGGGCCAGUGUUGCACUGGGAGAACAGGGCCCUAGAAUACGUGGGGCUAGGAAUGAGAGGGAUGGGGGUAGUGAGGGAAGGGGCCAGCCCAACAAAGCCACAAGUAGGCUAGGUAGCACCUUAGCAAGGAGAGCCAGCCACACCCAGACGAGCUGACAUGGUUAGGCUGUCCUGACACAAGUCUAUUUAUGUCACAUGGCUAGCUGGAAGCCAAAUGUUUGUUUGUUCCUUCGUUUGGCCGGAGAUCUGCUUAUUUGACAGUUCUUAGGACCCUUAUCUUCCUUACCCUGGAGACAUGCUGACUCAGUUCCACCAGCCAAGCCAGAGAAUUUGCCUGCAUUGACCCCUAUGUGGAACCCUGCUGUUUAUGCAGACCUGUUAAUAAAUAGGCUGAUCGGGGGCUAGAUCCUCAGCUGUUGUAAACUGAUGGGGCUCCAUCAGCUUCAUUUACACCAGCUGAGGAGCUGGGCCCAAAGCCUGAUUCAUGCCAACCAUGGGGUAAAUCAGGAGCAACCCCUGCGAAGUCCAUGGGCCCAAUUGUUUAUGGUUUUCACAGAUGCUUGUGCAAAAUGGGUGUGAAAUGCUAUCCGUUGAGAAUGGCAGCAUGUUACACACGCUCUGCAGAGGGGACACAAGAUGCAAGGCCUUGUGGCGAGUCAGAGUGUAAAAUCGCCAGGGGAAAAUCGGUGUAGGCAAGCUGAGAAUCAGGCCGUACAUUUCAGACCCUGGUGCCGUGUUCAGUGAUCACCCAGUGCUUAAGGUGCGGCAAGAGGUCUGGUUUAUCCUGUGUCCAGUUCCAGCUGGCCAUGCAUAACGAUGGCAAGAGCUUCACUGCUCUCUGCAUCUCUUAGGGUAAGUUGCCGUCCAUACAGGGCUGCCCGACUUCUAAGCCGGGCUUGGAGACGGGCGUAAUUAAGAGCUGACUUGAAUCUGCAACUAAGCCCCCACCUUUUCUGAAGUCUGAAACCUUCUUUAUGUCUGCUGGCCCUGUUCUCACCAUCAGAUCUCCAUCUAGAUCAGAAGGAGGCGUGGCCAAAAUGCCACAAAGAAGCAGCUUUCACCUGACUGCAUGCAAGAAGUGUGAAUUUCAUAAGCAGGGCAGCCCAAAGAAAAGCCAGCCAGCCAACCCCAAGAAAGUUAACCCAAGCGCAGCAGAGUGAAGUUCAGAUAAGCAUCUCAGUGUUUAGGAUGUUUAUCUGAACUGGAUCUCCAACUCUUCCUACAGUCAUCAUCCCUCAGUGCAAGGCAGACCCAGGAGCUCAGGAACAAAUCUGCAAAAUGGAGCAAUGCUGAUUUACUCUCGCUGGGGAUCUGGCCUCACUGACAGCUGGGGAUCUGGCCCAGGGACCUUUGUGGCUUCUAUCAUGAGGUUAUGGCAAGUCAUGGAGAGAGAAUAUGAUCUCGGGGAAUGAAAAAAACCGAACACACAAUUAUGGUGUGUGGCAAAAGGCAGAUGAAGAAAUAGUCAUGACUGGAAAUGAAGCGACAAUGAAGCGGAUGCCCUGCCAUGGAACCCUACAGUGAGAUGCUUCUAGCUUAGUUGAGCAAUGCUAAAGCGUGACUCAGGGUAGUAGGAAUACACAAGUAGUGCGGGGUCUAAUCCUGAAAUCUUUAUCCAGCUGAGU